GAGUUUGAUCCUGGCUCAGGAUGAACGCUGGCGGCGUGCUUAACACAUGCAAGUCGAACGAAGCGCUUUAACUUGAUUCUUCGGAUGAAGGUUUUUGUGACUGAGUGGCGGAGGGGUGAGUAACGCGUGGGUAACCUGCCUCAUACAGGGGGAUAACAGUUAGAAAUGACUGCUAAUACCGCAUAAGACCACAGGGUCGCAUGACCUGGUGGGAAAAACUCCGGUGGUAUGAGAUGGACCCGCGUCUGAUUAGGUAGUUGGUGGGGUAACGGCCUACCAAGCCGACGAUCAGUAGCCGACCUGAGAGGGUGACCGGCCACAUUGGGACUGAGACACGGCCCAAACUCCUACGGGAGGCAGCAGUGGGGAAUAUUGCACAAUGGGGGAAACCCUGAUGCAGCGACGCCGCGUGUGCGAAGAAGUAUUUCGGUAUGUAAAGCUCUAUCAGCAGGGAAGAAAAUGACGGUACCUGACUAAGAAGCACCGGCUAAAUACGUGCCAGCAGCCGCGGUAAUACGUAUGGUGCGAGCGUUAUCCGGAUUUACUGGGUGUAAAGGGAGCGUAAACGGCUGUGUAAGUCUGAAGUGAAAGCCCGGGGCUCAACCCCGGGACUGCUUUGGAAACUAUGCAGCUAGAGUGUCGGAGAGGUAAGUGGAAUUCCCAGUGUAGCGGUGAAAUGCGUAGAUAUUGGGAGGAACACCAGUGGCGAAGGCGGCUUACUGGACGAUGACUGACGUUGAGGCUCGAAAGCGUGGGGAGCANACAGGAUUAGAUACCCUGGUAGUCCACGCCGUAAACGAUGACUACUAGGUGUCGGGGAGCAAAGCUCUUCGGUGCCGCAGCAAACGCAAUAAGUAGUCCACCUGGGGAGUACGUUCGCAAGAAUGAAACUCAAAGGAAUUGACGGGGACCCGCACAAGCGGUGGAGCAUGUGGUUUAAUUCGAAGCAACGCGAAGAACCUUACCUGCUCUUGACAUCCCGGUGACCGGCAUGUAAUGAUGCCUUUUCUUCGGAACACCGGUGACAGGUGGUGCAUGGUUGUCGUCAGCUCGUGUCGUGAGAUGUUGGGUUAAGUCCCGCAACGAGCGCAACCCUUAUCUUCAGUAGCCAGCAUUUCGGAUGGGCACUCUGGAGAGACUGCCAGGGAUAACCUGGAGGAAGGUGGGAUGACGUCAAAUCAUCAUGCCCCUUAUGAGCAGGGCUACACACGUGCUACAAUGGCGUGAACAAAGGGAAGCAAACCUGCGAGGGUAAGCAAAUCUCAAAAAUAACGUCUCAGUUCGGAUUGUAGUCUGCAACUCGACUACAUGAAGCUGGAACCGCUAGUAAUCGCGAAUCAGCAUGUCGCGGUGAAUACGUUCCCGGGUCUUGUACACACCGCCCGUC
rnacentral:rRNA from 1 species